rnacentral:misc_RNA from 1 species
AAGACUAUAGACCUGCGGAGUACCUGCGGAAGGAUCAUUAGAGAGAUCAAGUGGGCACUUGUGACCCACAUAUACCCCCCCACACACACACACUUACACAAAAAUGUUGAACCGCCAAAGGGGAAGGAGAUUUGCAGAUGCGGCAACUAAUCUACUUGGUGCGGAUAUACCCCCUCCGGGAACCCAUGGGCUCUGUUCCCAUGCUGGACCGCGAUGCUUGGAAGACCGGCCCUUAGUCGG